rnacentral:lncRNA from 1 species
AAGCCGCAGAAAGAUUGCUGUGUGUUGUGAGUGGAGAAGAGCCCAGCAGAAAUCCCUCAAAGGUGGUGCAUGGAGCCUAGACCUGGGACCCAGGAGACCUGGAUCAGUUCCUGCCUCUUCCACAGACAUGCUAUGUGACCACAGACUGGUGCCUUCAUCGCUCCGGGUCUCAAAACUCCUGUCUGGCCUUGAGCCCUGCUUCUCUUCACUGGCUGAUGUGCA